rnacentral:rRNA from 1 species
AUGAAGAGUUUGAUCCUGGCUCAGAGCGAACGCUGGCGGCACGCCUAACACAUGCAAGUCGAGCGAGAAAGUGACUUCGGUCGCGAGUAAAGCGGCGAACGGGUGAGUACAACGUGGAUAAUCUACCCUAGGGUCUGGGACAACCCCGAGAAAUCGGGGCUAAUACCGGAUAAGACCACAGUAUCCGAGGAUACAGCGGUAAAAGAUUUAUCGCCUUUGGAUGAGUCCACGUCCCAUCAGGUAGUUGGUAAGGUAAAGGCUUACCAAGCCUAAGACGGGUAGCCGGCCUUAGCGGGUGAACGGCCACAUGGGGACUGAGACACGGCCCUGACUCCUACGGGAGGCAGCAGUGGGGAAUAUUGGGCAAUGGGCGAAAGCCUGACCCAGCGAUGCCGCGUGAGGGAUGAAGGCCUUCGGGUUGUAAACCUCUGUCAGGAGGGACGAUGGGACACUUGUGUCUUGACGGUACCUCCAGAGGAAGCCCCGGCUAACUCCGUGCCAGCAGCCGCGGUAAUACGGAGGGGGCAAG